rnacentral:rRNA from 1 species
UACGUAGGGGGGCAAGCGUUGUCCGGAAUCAUUGGGCGUAAAGAGCGUGUAGGCGGCCUGGUAAGUCCGCUGUGAAAGUCCAGGGCUCAACCCUGGAAUGCCGGUGGAAACUGUCAGGCUCGAGUCCGGAAGAGGCGAGUGGAAUUCCUGGUGUAGCGGUGAAAUGCGCAGAUAUCAGGAGGAACACCAAUGGCGAAGGCAGCUCGCUGGGACGGUACUGACGCUGAGACGCGAAAGCGUGGGGGAGCAA